UUUGCCUGUGAUGGUUUUUAAAUAUACUUUGCAGAGAUUUAUAUAUAUCUCUAUGAAAAAUACUUAAAAUCUGAGGCUUU